rnacentral:rRNA from 1 species
UACGGGGGGGGCAAGCGUUGUUCGGAAUUACUGGGCGUAAAGGGCUCGUAGGUGGCCAACUAAGUCAGACGUGAAAUCCCCAGGCUCAACUUGGGAACUGCGUCUGAUACUGGAUGGCUUGAAUUCGGGAGAGGGAUGCAGAAUUCCAGGUGUAGCGGUGAAAUGGGUAGAUAUCUGGAGGAAUACCGGUGGCGAAGGCGGCAUCCUGGACCGAUAUUGACACUGAUGAGCGAAAGCUAGGGGAGCAAACGGG